GUGCCAGCAGCCGCGGUAACACGAACCGUACGAACGUUAUUCGGAAUUACUGGGCUUAAAGGGUUUGUAGGCGGCCUUGUAAGUCAGGUGUGAAAGCCCUCGGCUCAACCGAGGAACAGCGCUUGAUACUGCAAGGCUUGAGGGAGACAGGGGUAAGCGGAACUGAUGGUGGAGCGGUGAAAUGCGUUGAUAUCAUCAGGAACACCGGUGGCGAAAGCGGCUUACUGGGUCUCUUCUGACGCUGAGGAACGAAAGCUAGGGUAGCGAACGGGAUUAGAUACCCCGGUAGUCCUAGCUGUAAACGAUGAGCACUUAUCUGGGGAUCCUCCCAUAGGUUCCCGGAUGUAGCGAAAGUGUUAAGUGCUCCGCCUGGGGAGUAUGGUCGCAAGGCUGAA
rnacentral:rRNA from 1 species